rnacentral:rRNA from 1 species
UUUAACGAGAGUUUGAUCCUGGCUCAGGAUGAACGCUGGCGGCGUGCCUAACACAUGCAAGUCGAGCGAAGCACUU